AACGCACCUUGCGCUCCUUGGUAUUCCGAGGAGCAUGCCUGUUUGAGUGUCAUUAAAUCAUCAAAGCCUUUCCAGUUUUGCGACUGGUUGGGACUUUGGACUUGGGAGUGCUGUCGGCCCUUGUGGUCGACUCUCCUCAAAAGCAUUAGCCGGUAAAAGCUCUUUGCAUAACUGGACGCAUGGCGUGAUAACUAUCAAUGCCCCGUCUCGGUGAAGCAACCUAGUCAUGGGCGACCUCCGCUUCUAAUCGUCCCUUGGGACAACUCUUUGACCAUUUGACCUCAAAUCAGGUAGGACUACCCGCUGAACUUAA
rnacentral:misc_RNA from 1 species